CUACGUGCCAGCAGCCGCGGUAAUACGGAAGGUCCAGGCGUUAUCCGGAUUUAUUGGGUUUAAAGGGAGCGUAGGCUGUUGGUUAAGCGUGUUGUGAAAUGUAGAUGCUCAACAUCUGAAUUGCAGCGCGAACUGUCCGACUUGAGUGCGCGGAAAGCAGGCGGAAUUCGUUGUGUAGCGGUGAAAUGCUUAGAUAUGACGAAGAACUCCGAUUGCGAAGGCAGCUGACGGGAGCGCAACUGACGCUUAAGCUCGAAGGUGCGGGUAUCAAACAGGAUUAGAUACCCUGGUAGUCCGCACAGUAAACGAUGGAUGCCCGCUGUUGGUACCUGGUAUCAGCGGCUAAGCGAAAGCAUUAAGCAUCCCACCUGGGGAGUACGCCGGCAACGGUGAAACUCAAAGGAAUUGACGGGGGCCCGCACAAGCGGAGGAACAUGUGGUUUAAUUCGAUGAUACGCGAGGAACCUUACCCGGGCU
rnacentral:rRNA from 1 species